rnacentral:misc_RNA from 1 species
UCAACCAUCAAGCUAUGCUUGGCAUUGGAUGCCAUCCCCUCCUACACGGGUGGGAAGCGUCUCAAACCGGUCGGCGGUGGCUUCGGGCCCUAAGCGUUAGUAAUACUUGUCGCUUUUCGGUGAACCCUUAGUCCGCCCGCCCCCAAAACCCAACACCUCAA